UUAUAUUGGAGGGCAAGUCUGGUGCCAGCAGCCGCGGUAAUUCCAGCUCCAAUAGCGUAUAUUAAAGUUGUUGCGGUUAAAAAGCUCGUAGUUGGAUCUCAGCUCACGCUAAGUGGUCCACUUAAUGGUGGUUACUACUUAGCUGAGCAUUUUACAGAUUUGUCUCUUGAUGCUCUUCACCGAGUGUCAAGAGUGGUCUGUACGUUUACUUUGAAAAAAUUAGAGUGCUUAAAGCAGGCAACUCGCCCGAAUAAUCUUGCAUGGAAUAAUGGAAUAGGACCUUGGUUCUAUUUUGUUGGUCUCCGGAAUCUGAGGUAAUGAUUAAGAGGGACAGACGGGGGCAUUCGUAUUGCGCCGCUAGAGGUGAAAUUCUUGGACCGGCGCAAGACGAACUACAGCGAAAGCAUUGCCAAGAAUGUUUUCAUUAAUCAAGAACGAAAGUUAGAGGUUCGAAGGCGAUCAGAUACCGCCCUAGUUCUAACCAUAAACGAUGCCAA
rnacentral:rRNA from 1 species